CCCAGACAGCCAGGAUGUUGGCUUAGAAGCAGCCAUCAUUUAAAGAAAGCGUAAUAGCUCACUGGUCGAGUCGGCCUGCGCGGAAGAUGUAACGGGGCUAAACCAUGCACCGAAGCUGCGGCAGCGACGCUUAUGCGUUGUUGGGUAGGGGAGCGUUCUGUAAGCCUGUGAAGGUGUGUCGUGAGGCAUGCUGGAGGUAUCAGAAGUGCGAAUGCUGACAUAAGUAACGAUAAAGCGGGUGAAAAGCCCGCUCGCCGGAAGACCAAGGGUUCCUGUCCAACGUUAAUCGGGGCAGGGUGAGUCGACCCCUAAGGC
rnacentral:rRNA from 1 species